rnacentral:misc_RNA from 1 species
CGUGCAGGAGGGACAUUAAGGC